rnacentral:rRNA from 1 species
UACGUAGGUGGCAGGCGUUAUCCGGAUUUAUUGGGCGUAAAGGGAACGCAGGCGGUCUUUUAAGUCUGAUGUGAAAGCCUUCGGCUUAACCGGAGUAGUGCAUUGGAAACUGGGAGACUUGAGUGCAGAAGAGGAGAGUGGAGCUCCAUGUGUAGCGGUGAAAUGCGUAGAUAUAUGGAAGAACACCAGUGGCGAAAGCGGCUCUCUGGUCUGUAACUGACGCUGAGGUUCGAAAGCGUGGGUAGCAAACAGG